rnacentral:rRNA from 1 species
GAUGAACGCUGGCGGCGUGCCUAAUACAUGCAAGUCGAGCGAACGGACGAGAAGCUUGCUUCUCUGAUGUUAGCGGCGGACGGGUGAGUAACACGUGGAUAACCUACCUAUAAGACUGGGAUAACUUCGGGAAACCGGAGCUAAUACCGGAUAAUAUUUUGAACCGCAUGGUUCAAAAGUGAAAGACGGUCUUGCUGUCACUUAUAGAUGGAUCCGCGCUGCAUUAGCUAGUUGGUAAGGUAACGGCUUACCAAGGCAACGAUGCAUAGCCGACCUGAGAGGGUGAUCGGCCACACUGGAACUGAGACACGGUCCAGACUCCUACGGGAGGCAGCAGUAGGGAAUCUUCCGCAAUGGGCGAAAGCCUGACGGGGCAACGCCGCGUGAGUGAUGAAGGUCUUCGGAUCGUAAAACUCUGUUAUUAGGGAAGAACAUAUGUGUAAGUAACUGUGCACAUCUUGACGGUACCUAAUCGGAAAGCCACGGCUAACUACGUG